CACGUAGGGCGCAAGCGUUGUCCGGAAUUAUUGGGCGUAAAGAGCUCGUAGGCGGACUGUCACGUCCGCUGUGAAAAGCUAGGGCUUAACCCUGGCCUUGCAGUGGAUACGGGCAGACUAGAGGAAGGUAGGGGCGUGCGGAACUGUGGGUGGAGCGGUGAAAUGCGUUGAUAUCUGGAGGAAUACCGGUGGCGAAGGCGGCAUCCUGGACCGACAUUGACGCUGAGGAGCGAAAGCUAGGGGAGCAAACGGG
rnacentral:rRNA from 1 species